UACGAAGGGGGCUAGCGUUGUUCGGAAUUACUGGGCGUAAAGCGCGUGUAGGCGGGUCUUUAAGUCAGUGGUGAAAGCCCGGAGCUCAACUCCGGAACUGCCAUUGAAACUGUUUAGCUUGAGGACGAGAGAGGUGAGUGGAAUUCCCAGUGUAGAGGUGAAAUUCGUAGAUAUUGGGAAGAACACCGGUGGCGAAGGCGGCUCACUGGCUCGUAUCUGACGCUCAGGCGCGACAGCGUGGGGAUCAAACAG
rnacentral:rRNA from 1 species